AACGAACGCUGGCGGCGCGCCUAAUACAUGCAAGUCGAGCGAGAAGACGUAGCAAUACGUUUGUAAAGCGGCGAACGGGUGAGGAAUACAUGGGUAACCUACCCUCGAGUGGGAAUAACUAGCCGAAAGGUUAGCUAAUACCGCGUACGCUCCUCGGACUUCGGUUCAGGGAGGAAAGCGAUACCGUGGGUAUCGCGCUCUUGGAUGGGCUCAUGUCCUAUCAGCUUGUUGGUGAGGUAACGGCUCACCAAGGCUUCGACGGGUAGCUGGUCUGAGAGGACGAUCAGCCACACUGGCACUGCGACACGGGCCAGACUCCUACGGGAGGCAGCAGUAAGGAAUAUUGCGCAAUGGGCGAAAGCCUGACGCAGCGACGCCGCGUGGGGGAGUGAA
rnacentral:rRNA from 1 species